UGCCUCUUACGAGGCAUUGAAAAGGUAAGCAAAUGGCAUUGAACGUACCGGAUGUUUGAACUCCAUACCUUUUACGAGCGUUGAAGGGCAUUUCAAAUGUCCAGCAGGUUUAUUAUAUAUAUAUCUACACUUGCCACGAGUGUCAAUGGCAGCUAUUAUCUAUUAGAGACACUGUCAAGGGAAUCUCUAUAUAUUAUGUUUGUAGUACGUUAUCUUUUCUGGUAUUUGGAAUCCUUAUCACCUCUAAUCGACCUGCAUGAAAGAAAAUCCCACGAAAUUUUUUUUUUUCUCUCCUUUUCAAGUCCCGUGGAGUACGUUUUGAUUUCCAAAUUUGAACCUCGCAUUUGGAAAGGUGUUAAUAAGGUGGUGAUAAAGGUUUUGUGAGUGUAAGACGUCGUCUCCACAGUCACACAGAGCCUUUAGAGAACAUGUGAUUGCUAACGCUGGAGCUCUUGCUUAGGGGUCGCAAAUCAAGAGAUUGCAUAAUUAAGCAGGCGAAGUGCAAGCCACUUUUCUUGAGAAAGAGAGCAAUUGGCCAAAAACAUAAUACUAUUGAUGCCUGAAUCUGCUUCUGGCAAACACAAGGAUCUUCAGUGAUCUAGUUUCCCAGCUAUAAGCAUACAGGGAUGUGAGGAGUAGAUGCCUACGUACAGGGUAGACUUUAGAGUGGGCGUAUCUAUUGUAGUCUAUGGAUUGGACAAAAUACUGUGAUUACGUGAAAUAGUAAGCAAACCAUAUAAGCUCCAAGAGAUAGAAGAUGUGUGGCUUGAAUUAUCUGGAUAAGAUACGAUGCAUAUACUUGUGAUCUUGACCAUAGCUUCCAGGGCUUCUGUUCUGAAUGUUUGGUCUUGCACUCUAAUCUCUAGUCUGGUUUCUGUCUUGUAGCCUUCGGUGAAAGAUCAUGUGGGGCAGGGAAUUUUCCCAGUUACAUCAACUGUCUAGCUGCAUACCCCUGGUCUUAAAGCCUCUGUAUUCUUCUAUUUUCUUAUAGUCAUUAUAAAACAACUAUGAAUCAUGAAUUUCAACCCUUUUUUUUAUUUAUUUAAAUAAGUUGAGAGGCACGACUUGAACUUGAGAUCGGCAUAUUCCAUUAUUUGGAGGUUGUGAUACACUUGUCUACAACACUCAUCUCCCCUAUAUCCUUUUUUCAUGUGUCAUAAUUUAAUUUAUUGUCUUUUCAUCACAGAAGAACUAGCACUUUCUCUGCUCAUAUAUGAGCUGAUUUGAAUUUCUUAUACAAGAAAAUAAUUUUAAUCUCUAUAAUUCGUAAAUAAUACUGGCAUUCAAGUCCUUGACGAUC